rnacentral:rRNA from 1 species
CCUACGGGAGGCAGCAGUGGGGAAUAUUGCGCAAUGGGCGAAAGCCUGACGCAGCAACGCCGCGUGAGGGAUGACGGCCUUCGGGUUGUAAACCUCUUUCAGCAGGGAAGAAGCGAAAGUGACGGUACCUGCAGAAGAAGCACCGGCUAACUACGUGCCAGCAGCCGCGGUAAUACGUAGGGUGCAAGCGUUGUCCGGAUUUAUUGGGCGUAAGGAGCUCGUAGGCGGUUAGUCACGUCGGAUGUGAAAUCCCGGAGCUUAACUCCGGGCCUGCAUUCGAUACGGGCUGACUCGAGUAUUGUAGGGGAGACUGGAACUCCUGGUGUAGCGGUGAAAUGCGCAGAUAUCAGGAAGAACACCGGUGGCGAAGGCGGGUCUCUGGGCAAUUACUGACGCUGAGGAGCGAAAGCGUGGGGAGCAAACAGGAUUAGAUACCCUGGUAGUCCACGCCGUAAACGGUGGGCGCUAGGUGUGGGGACCCUUCCACGGUCUCCGUGCCGCAGCUAACGCAUUAAGCGCCCCGCCUGGGGAGUACGGCCGCAAGGCUAAAACUUAAAUGAAUUGACGG